AUUGAACGCUGGCGGCAGGCCUAACACAUGCAAGUCGAGCGAGCGGCGGACGGGUGAGUAAUGUCUGGGGACUGCACGAUAGAGGGGGAUAACUACUGGAAACGGUGGAUAAUACCGCAUACUAGUGGAUAACCCAUAUGGGAUGAGCUAGUAGGUGGGGUAAAGGCUCACCUAGGCCACGAUCUCUAGCUGGUCUGAGAGGAUUAUCAGCCACACGGGAACUGAGACACGCCCCUACAUCUUACGGAGGCAGCAGUGGGGAAUAUUGCACAAUGGUCGCAAGCCUGAUGCAGCCAUUCCGCGUGUAUGAAGAAGGCCUUAGGGUUGUAAAGUACUUUCAGCGGGGAGGCGUUACCCGCAGAAGAAGCACCGGCUAACUCCGUGCCAGCAGCCGCGGUAAUAC
rnacentral:rRNA from 1 species